rnacentral:rRNA from 1 species
CAGUCGCCGCGGGAAUACGGAGGGGGCUAGCGUUGUUCGGAAUUACUGGGCGUAAAGCGCACGUAGGCGGCUCGGUAAGUUAGAGGUGAAAGCCCGGAGCUCAACUCCGGAAUUGCCUUUAAGACUGCCGAGCUAGCAGGUGAGAGAGGUAAGUGGAAUUCCGAGUGUAGAGGUGAAAUUCGUAGAUAUUCGGAAGAACACCAGUGGCGAAGGCGGCUUACUGGCUCAUACUGGACGCUGAGGUGCGAAAGCGUGGGGAGCAAACAGGAUUAGAGACCCCCGGUAGUCCCUGUCUCUUAUA